rnacentral:rRNA from 1 species
AUUGAACGCUGGCGGAAUGCUUUACACAUGCAAGUCGAACGGCAGCACGGGGCAACCUGGUGGCGAGUGGCGAACGGGUGAGUAAUAUAUCGGAACGUGCCCAAUCGUGGGGGAUAACGUAGCGAAAGUUACGCUAAUACCGCAUACGAUCUACGGAUGAAAGCGGGGGAUCGCAAGACCUCGCGCGAAUGGAGCGGCCGAUAUCAGAUUAGGUAGUUGGUGGGGUAAAGGCUCACCAAGCCAACGAUCUGUAGCUGGUCUGAGAGGACGACCAGCCACACUGGAACUGAGACACGGUCCAGACUCCUACGGGAGGCAGCAGUGGGGAAUUUUGGACAAUGGGCGCAAGCCUGAUCCAGCCAUUCCGCGUGCAGGAUGAAGGCCUUCGGUUGUAACUGCUUUGUACGGUAACGAAACGGUAC